GACGAACGCUGGCGGCGUGCUUAACACAUGCAAGUCGAACGGAAAGGCCUGCUUUCCCUUGUGUAUUGCGGGUACUCGAGUGGCGAACGGGUGAGUAACACGUGAGUUAUCUGCCCCCAACUUGGGUAUAAGCCUGGGAAACUGGGUCUAAUUCCCGAUAGGACUGCAGGGUGGUGCCUGUGGUGGAAAACGAUUUUCUAGUGGUUGGGGAUGAGCUCGCGGCCUAUCAGCUUGUUGGUGGGGUAAUGGCCUACCAAGGCGGCGACGGGUAGCCGGGCUGGGUGGGUGGACGGCGAGAGUGACAGGGAACAUUGGGACAGAGUCACGGGGGAGGCAGCUGUGGGGAGUAGUGGUCGAGGAGAGUGGGCCAGGGGCGGAGGCGUGGUGUAGGGAAUGACGGUGUGGGGUGUGGGACUUCGUUUCGUACGCGAGGAAGCCACGUGAUUGGGAGUGUGGGGCGGGAAGUGUAGAAGAAGCACCGGCUAACUACGUG
rnacentral:rRNA from 1 species